UUUUAUUAGUAUAUAAAAAAAAAUUAAAAUAUCUUGACCACUUAAGAAAAUAGACCAUUAUUUUCUAGGAAAUUGUAUUUGAAAAAUUAUCAACAAUGAAUUUUCCUGAGGAAUAUAAUUUACAAUAAAAUGUCAACUGUAGUCAGCUAUGGAUAUGCAGAGGUUAUUUAUUCUAAAACAAUACCUGCCUUUGACCUUUACAACAAACUGCGCAAUCCUAACAUACUAAUUACAGCAGAUUAAAUUUAGAGCCCCAAACUUUUCUGUAUUCCAUAAACUCACCGCCCUUCUGCCCAUCAAGAUUACCUUCUCCCAAAGGACUCUCAAUAGCUGGCCUUAAUAAGGUGCACUCAACAAAUUCAAAAAACAAAACAGAAACACCUGGGGCAGCUCACGUUUCCAUUUACUUAAUCCGAGACACCUCAAAGUGUUUUAUUUAAAAUAAACCUAAUCUUUGAGUGCCUUGUGGAGAAUAUAUUUACACAGAUCAGAUUAGUAGAUAACUAUUUUUUUUUAAACUAUGUAGGUAACCAAGGUCUAGGCUGUUAGGAGACCUCAAAUAUUUUCUCUACUCUACAAAGCACAUCUUCACACCCCAGAGCAUUAGAUUGGGAAUUAAGGAGACAGUCCUACAGCAACACGUAGUAUCAUUCUGCACCACCUCCUCCCCCACCCCCACCCCUAUCCAAAGAAGUUUGGGGAAGGGCUGGACACCAGAAUUGGAUAAGUCACCAAGGGCAAAGGGCAGUGGUGAUCCUCUCGCACGGCCCGCCCGUCCAAAGGCUGGGAGGGGCCAGCCGGGAGGGCCCGGCCUCACAACGUGCGAUCUCACACGUACGCGGGAGUACGCGGGAGCCCGGAGCAGAAGCGGCAGUCUCGCGCCCGCACCACAGGGCAGAGGGCGGGCUGGGGAUGCGGUGCAGCGGCGGAGCACGUAUGGGGGCGUGACCUGCAGAGCGGUGGGCGGGACUCAGGUUUCUCCUGGCAGCUUAAAUUUCGCAUCCUUAAGCAGUACCGGCGGCACCGGGGACUAAAGCGGCGUCAGGUCCCUUCCGCAUCCUUGGUACUUUCUCUGAUGAGGGUCUGAUCGCUGCCGCUCUCAGGCACCUGCCUUUCCUCUCCUUCCCGGAACGGAGCCAAGACAAGGAGAGUAUAAAGGACAUAAAAUAAUGCGAGGAGAUCGGGUGUCUGAGCAGCGUCUUGGGUAAAACCGUCCACUACAGAGGAGAGUGCAAACACAGUUCCCUACUACCACAAAUUACGCAGUCGAGUUUCCCACAUUUGGGGAAACUGCAGGGGUCAGCACAUCCAGAGUGCAAUGAAUACGCCUCGCCCUAGGAAAACCACCUUUGUGAUCAAGGUAUCUCCCCUACCAGGCCUAUUAUACCCUUGUAAAACAACUCACCAGCAUCGAGAAGUUUCCUCACACGCAAAUAGCUGAUGGUAAGCCUCAUAACAGAAGCCUUAUCAAGAUGCGAACUCAC